AAUCACUCUCCAAUGGCCGCUGCCGCCCGCCCCCUGGUUUCCGUUCAGUCCCUUGAAGGGGACAUGGCUACCGAUGCGGCGCCCACCGUCCCGCUUCCGGACGUGAUGAAGGCUUCAAUUCGCCCGGACAUUGUUAGCUUUGUCCAUUCCAACAUCUCGAAGAAUAGCCGUCAGCCCUACGCCGUCAGUAAGCGCGCCGGCCACCAAACCUCCGCGGAGUCCUGGGGUACUGGACGUGCUGUGUCCCGUAUUCCCCGUGUUCCCGGUGGCGGUACUCACCGUGCUGGUCAGGGUGCUUUCGGAAACAUGUGUCGUGGUGGUCGAAUGUUCGCUCCAACUAAGAUCUGGCGCCGAUGGCACCGCAAGAUCAAUGUGAAUCAGAAGAGGUAUGCUGUUGUGUCGGCUAUCGCGGCCUCGGCUGUUCCAUCUUUGGUUCUUGCUCGCGGUCAUCGAAUCGAGUCUGUCCCUGAAUUGCCACUUGUUGUGAGCGAUUCGGCUGAAGGCGUUGAGAAGACCUCUGCUGCAAUCAAGGUUCUUAAACAGGUUGGGGCGUUUCCCGAUGCUGAGAAGGCCAAAGAUAGCCAUGCGAUCCGUCCUGGUAAGGGUAAGAUGAGGAACCGUCGUUAUAUUUCUCGCAAGGGUCCAUUGAUUGUUUACGGAACUGAGGGUGCUAAGCUUGUUAAGGCCUUCCGUAACAUUCCCGGAGUUGAGAUUGCUAACGUUGAGAGACUUAAUUUGUUGAAGCUUGCUCCCGGUGGACACCUUGGAAGGUUUGUGAUCUGGACCAAGUCUGCUUUUGAGAAGCUUGAUUCUAUCUAUGGAUCUUUUGAGAAGCCUUCAGAGAAGAAAAAGGGUUAUGUCCUUCCGAGGUCUAAGAUGGUGAAUGCUGAUUUGGCAAGGAUUAUUAACUCUGAUGAAGUACAAUCUGUAGUGAAGCCAAUUAAGAAGGAUGCUAAGAGACCUCCAUUGAAGAAGAACCCAUUGAAGAACUUGAACGCCAUGCUCAAGCUUAACCCAUAUGCUAAGACAGCUAGAAGAAUGGCUCUUUUGGCAGAG
rnacentral:misc_RNA from 1 species